rnacentral:rRNA from 1 species
UAGGGAAUCUUCCGCAAUGGGCGAAAGCCUGACGGAGCAACGCCGCGUGAGUGAUGAAGGUCUUCGGAUCGUAAAACUCUGUUAUUAGGGAAGAACAAAUGUGUAAGUAACUAUGCACGUCUUGACGGUACCUAAUCAGAAAGCCACGGCUAACUACGUGCCAGCAGCCGCGGUAAUACGUAGGUGGCAAGCGUUAUCCGGAAUUAUUGGGCGUAAAGCGCGCGUAGGCGGUUUUUUAAGUCUGAUGUGAAAGCCCACGGCUCAACCGUGGAGGGUCAUUGGAAACUGGAAAACUUGAGUGCAGAAGAGGAAAGUGGAAUUCCAUGUGUAGCAGUGAAAUGCGCAGAGAUAUGGAGGAACACCAGUGGCGAAGGCGACUUUCUGGUCUGUGACUGACGCUGAUGUGCGAAAGCGUGGGGAUCAAACAGG